CAUUCGAGUCGCCGAAGUAACCCUCUGUAUUGAAUGGAAGUCGUGAAAUCACUCUCGGGAUGAUCGGCAAAAGAAUUAACAUUUUAUUCCUGAAUGAAUAGAUAGGAAUGCUGCUGUUUUAGAAGGUUCCCUUGUUGUUGAUGUUGUUUUGCCUACCACUUAUGAGUUUUAGUUGCUCAACUUCAGUGGCAGUUGGCUUGGGCUCAUGUUCUUCAACUCCCUCCAAAGAUGAUGCAAACGUUCUGAAAUCACAACUGAGAAGAGAGAGAAGGUGGACAAUGACAGGGGGCAUUAAAGUUUGCUGGGGAGUCAAAUUCUCCACUUGUUCCCUAUGCCUUCCCCAUUUUUUCAAUCAUGUUAAUUGCAGACACAUUUUAGUUGUUGCAGGGAAAUGCCUUCAUGCACAAGGGUGGGUGAAUUGUACUUGGCAGCAACUCAAUCCCCUGUUUAGUUCCAUCUGACUAGCUGCAGAGUGUCUGCUAUUUCCAAAUGAGUGCUACAUUCCCUGGCAAGGCAGCUGCACCUAAUGAUAAAAUCUGUCUGGUGUAACUUCCUUGGUAAUAUAACUUGUAAAACAGAAGGAAUCCUGGCCAUAAAUAAGCUGAAAUUAAGAUGCAGAAAAUUCUCUGGUCUCGUCUACUUUUAAAACUUGGCAGCAGAAAAUCUAUCAGCAUGAUUCUUAUCCAAUCUCCACUAUGAAUAUAUGAGUAAGUCAGACAGGAAAGACCAGUUGAUCCAUGCUUACGAUGGUUU